GCCCGGGUGGCGGAACUGGUCAGACGCGGCUGGCUUAAAACCGGCUGUCCGUGAGGGCGUGGGGGUUCGAGUCCCUCCCCGGGUA
rnacentral:tRNA from 1 species